UACGUAGGGGGCAAGCGUUGUCCGGAUUUAUUGGGCGUAAAGCGCGUGUAGGUGGCUCUGCACGUCGAUGUGAAAGCCCGGGGCUCAACCCCGGCAGUGCAUCCGAAACGAGGGAGCUAGAGUGCUGGAGAGGCGGGUGGAAUUCCCGGUGUAGAGGUGAAAUUCGAUAGAUAUCGGGAGGAACACCGGUGGCGAAGGCGACCCGCUGGCCCGAUACUGACGCUGAGGCACGAAAGCGUGGGGAGCAAACAGG
rnacentral:rRNA from 1 species